CCAGGGUGACAGCAGUAGAGACAGGGAAGUGGAAAGAAUCAAGUUACAUAAACAUUUGCUUGAAUGAAUGAAAAUGUUUCCAUUUGUUUAGUAUUUACUAUGUGUCAGACAUGGUACCAGGUGCUUUAUAUGUAUAACCUCAAUUACCCUUAAAAUAAUCUUAAGGAAUAGCUAUGGUACCUCCAUUGUAAAAAGGAGGAGACUGA
rnacentral:lncRNA from 1 species